CCCUCCGUAGGGUGAACCUGCGGAGGGWUYAUUACCGAGYKAGUACAACUCAUCAACCCUGUGAACAUACCUAAACGUUGCCUCGGCGGGAACAGACGGCCCCGUGAAAACGGGCCGCCCCCGCCAGAGGACCCCCUAACUCUGUUUCUAUAAUGUUUCUUCUGAGUAAAACAAGCAAAUAAAUUAAAACUUUCAACAACGGAUCUCUUGGCUCUGGCAUCGAUGAAGAACGCAGCGAAAUGCGAUAAGUAAUGUGAAUUGCAGAAUUCAGUGAAUCAUCGAAUCUUUGAACGCACAUUGCGCCCGCCAGUAUUCUGGCGGGCAUGCCUGUUCGAGCGUCAUUACAACCCUCAGGCCCCCGGGCCUGGCGUUGGGGAUCGGCGGAGGCCCUCCGUGGGCACACGCCGUCCCCCAAAUACAGUGGCGGUCCCGCCGCAGCUUCCAUCGCGUAGUAGCUAACACCUCGCGACUGGAGAGCGGCGCGGCCACGCCGUAAAACCCCCAACUCUUCUGAAGUUGACCUCGAAUCAGGUAGGAAKACCCGUUCUKWWCUUAAGCAUAUCAAUAAGUGGGAGGAA
rnacentral:rRNA from 1 species